CCUACGGGUGGCAGCAGUGAGGAAUAUUGGUCAAUGGACGCAAGUCUGAACCAGCCAUGCCGCGUGCAGGAAGACGGAUCUAUGAGUUGUAAACCGCUUUUGUACGAGGGUAAACGCCGAGACGCGUAUCUGUCUGAAAGUAUCUUACGAAUAAGGAUCGGCUAACUCCGUGCCAGCAGCCGCGGUAAUACGGAGGAUUCAAGCGUUAUCCGGAUUUAUUGGGUUUAAAGGGUGCGUAGGCGGUCGUUUAAGUUAGGGGUGAAAUCCAGUGGCUCAAAUUCGGAAUUGCCGUUGAUACUGGUCGGCUUGAGAAUGUUUGCGGUAGGCGGAAUGUAUGGUGUAGCGGUGAAAUGCUUAGAGAUCAUACAGAACCCCGAUUGCGAAGGCAGCCUGCCAAGCUAUUUCUGACGUUGAGGCACGAAAGCGUGGGGAGCAAACAGGAUUAGAUACCCGAGUAGUC
rnacentral:rRNA from 1 species